rnacentral:tRNA from 1 species
GGAGGGAUGGCCGAGUGGUUGAUGGCACCUCAUUGAUACUGAGACGACCGGUUUUCCGGUUCGGGGGUUCGAAUCCCCAUCCCUAUA